rnacentral:rRNA from 1 species
UCCGUAGGCGGUGCGGCAAGUCGGAAGUGAAAUCUCAGGGCUUAACCCUGAGGCUGCUUCCGAAACUGCCGUGCUCGAGUGCGAGAGAGGCGAGUGGAAUUGCAGGUGUAGCGGUGAAAUGCGUAGAUAUCUGCAGGAACAUCCGAGGCGAAAGCGGCUCGCUGGAUCGCAACUGACGCUGAGGGACGAAAGCUAGGGGAGCAAACAGGAUUAGAUACCCUGGUAGUCCUAGCCCUAAACGAUCAGGACUGGGCGUGGGCCUCGUACGGGGCCCGUGCCGCAGCUAACGCGUUAAGUCCUGCGCCUGGGGAGUACGGUCGCAAGGCUGAA